GAGAUCUAUUCCAGGCACGGAAUGUGUCUCUGGGGAGGUGUUAUUUUUAAACAUGUUGUCACUACCUCCACUGAGACACUCUCCUCCCUGCUUUCUGCUCCUGGAACAAGCACUCUUCCUGUCCCCCCCUCCCCCGUUCGCUCCAAAAAAACAUCUUUGAGUAAGAAAGUGUUGGAGCGAGCAUGUUUUGAAAAUUACCUUGUGUUUCAGCAGCAAUGUGGAUCCAAUCAAAGUUUUCUGGUGUCUGAGCCUCCUGAGUAUUCACUCUCCACACACCUAACCAGUAAACAAAGCUAGUGACCUGGCCAUCCUGUUCAAACAGUUCAUUAUAGGUCUCUGGGGAAGGACAACAUUCUGGAGGCUGCGUCACUGAAUCCUGUAAGAUCUUAAAGGAGAGGGCCCAAUCCUACCAGAUGCUGAGCUCCUGCUAGGAGGUGCUGAGUCCCGCAGGUUCCAUUGAAGUCAACAGGAAUCCAGGGCAUUCAACGCUUCUCAGGUGGCUCUGGGAAUCUUUCAGGAUUACCAAUAUGACCAGGCUGAUGACAUCAGAAAUAGAGUUUUCCUGUGAUUGGCUGUCUCAAGAAGCCUUCACUAUUGAACAUGGUGAGAUUUGGCAGCCCUUUAUGUACAUUUGAAAACUGCAUUCUGAAUGUGGAAACAGGGACAUAUGGCAAAAUUCCUUGAAACUUACAAGUCGGUUAAGUCCUAAAAGAAGGAGCGAAGGUGGCUGUUAGGAAAUCCCCAUGCUGCCUCAGGGGGUUGCCCCGCAUGACACAGCAAUCGGGACUUGAACAUUUACUUUCAAGCUCAGCAUCUUCCAAUAGGACAUGAGACUUUUUGGUCCUGGAUCGGGAAACUGAGGCAUAGAGCCAUUAAAUCCAAGGUCACACAGUAAACCAGAGCAGGGAAUAAAAUCCACAAGUCCUGACUUCUAGUCCCAGCCAUUAGAGCAUCAUGGAUUUUAUUCUCAGGAGCUAGAUCUU